GCAGGAGGGCGUCACAGCCAAGGUGAUGCGCCAGCUCCGUGUCAUCCGGUACUUGCGCCAGGUGCCUGAGGCGCUGCAGGGGCUUGGGCUCUGCCUCUGAGGCCACCAGCAACUGCCGCUCCCUGCUGCAGGCCCUGGGAUCUGGCACAGCCUCCCCAACGAGCGCAUCCUGUAACUGAGCCAUGUCGGGGAGCAGUGGGGACAGGUGACCUCGUCUCAUCCAAGCAAGCAAUGCUGGCUCUCAAAGAGGCUUAGAUGGAAGACCCCACUCCGUCAUAGAGGAAGGGGCUCCCCAGAGAUGUCCUCGAACCUGGACUCCUGAGAGCGUUUCUGGCAGGAGGCUCCAGCCCCUCGGACAUGAAGGGAGCAUCAGGUAGUCUCGUCCACAUGGCGUCUCCGGUCUCCAGUUCCACUUCCCGCACCAGAGCAAACGAACCCAUCAGCUCCCAGAAUCCCAACUCUUUGACUUCCUUCCACUUAGUAGUGGGGUUUCUCCAGCUCUCUCACCACACCUGUCAGCCUCUGAAUGAUGAAGGGCCUGAAUGUCAGAGUCACCAGAAGAAGCAAACUCCAGUUCCAGGCAAUGGGUCCUGUGUGUACUCAGCCCCUCUGGAAACCAGAUCUGAAAUAGGGAGCAAGGACCCCAGGCCAAUAACAGUAGGAGUGGGCAGAGCAGGCCUGUAACAGGGUGCUUUCCCCUGGGAUGCAGAGCCUGGGGCCUAGCCAAGCUGAUUACAGAAUGAGCCCUAACUGAGAGGCACCAGGUACCUCCCCCUAAAGAGCCAGACUUCAGUGGUGACACAGCCCAGCUGUGGUAUCAACAGGAAGGAGAAGGAGGUAGUUCAGAGCAGCAAGGAAACUUGAGAAGAGAGGUAGGAAGUGCCCAGGGAAACCUGCUGCAAAGAGAAAGGAGCAGACCUAGCUGUUGGGUACAGGGCCCUGGGUUCCACUACUGGCCCCAAAGAAGGGGUGUACACACACCCAGAGAGGGUUACGAAGCCCAGCAAGGGGGUUGCAGGCUGAGCAAGAGCCCCAGCUAUGGCAGAAGGACUUCUUUCUGUGGAAAGACCUCUUGGGACUUCUAGUGUGAGACAAGCUGGGUCCCAGAAGUGUGGACUAAAGGUAGUGACCUGGCCGGAGGGCUAAGUUACCAGGUAGAGAAACUGCCAUGGUGCUGGAGCGACCAUGGGUGGGAGAUGCUAGUCCAGCGAGAGGGCUGUGAUGCCAUGCCUGGCCUCCAGCGGGGGCACGUAACAAUGAGUAGAUUCGUUUAUGAUUGGCACAAUCAGGAGGAUUGAAUUCUGCCUGUGAUCCAUGAGGACUGAUGGAAGACUUGGUUGCUGAAGGAAGGCCUGUCCUCCCAAGUGGGUGUAUCGAGGGACCGAGCCAGUCACUGGAUUUCCCAUUUCAGUUCCAGGGACUGGUUAAGCAGCCAAAGCAGGUCUAGGGGUUUCUCCAGCAGCUCCUAGAAAACCAUGAGAGGCAGAGGGAAGUGCAAGCGGAGCUACAGACGCAGCAGCAGCAAUACCUGUGAGAGAUCUUGCAAAGGGAAUGCCGAUGGACAAAAAGAGCAGACACGAAGAGCAUGCCUGGGCUGUGCUGAGAAGGUUAGCCCAGGAGAGCAGGGUAUGAGAAAGUGUACAAGCAUGGCCUAAUGCCAAGAUGGGGACAAGAGUUCUUUGUUUUGGGUGCAGAGAAGCAGGCCAUAUCAAAAGAUAUGGCCUGCUUAGGAAAUUGCUGAGUGUCAAAAGGAGGGUGCCAGGGCCCCAAGAAGUUAGAAAGAAAGGAGAAGGUGUCCUCUGACACAAACCCACAUGAGGCAGGCAACGUGGAGGUGACAGGGAUGGCCUGGACUUUGCCGACCCUCCACCAACACACCUUGUCGGGUGCUGCAGGGAGGUGAAGGACGAAAUGGUUGGCCCAGAGAUGAAGCUGACUGGAGUAGGGACAAACACAAGGGUGGAGCAGUCCAUGGUGGGCUCUCCGACCUUGAUGGAAAAGGUUUUGUCCUAUGCAGUGGCAGUAGCAAAGAGGCUACACAAGAAGCUAAAGGCUUCAGAACAGGCUCUCCAAGCAGCUGUUAAUGGGAAUGAGUGGCUGCAGGAAGAGCGCUAGGACACUGCAGAAGAGGAGGACGAUUGCCUCUGCAUUCUGGUGAGCGAGCUGGCCGUGGAGCUGAAGACACUGUGGGUGCAGGUUGUACAAGCGCGCAGCCGGUGACAGCGACGAGAUGACGAGGGAUGAAGCUUGGACAAGAAUAGAACUUGCCCCUCGUGUGGGCCAGUUUCUAAGGAGGAGCAUGUAUGACAGGGGGCCUUGGCCUGUGGGCAAUAAAGCCUGGAGCUAGGCCAAACGGAUUACAGAGCGAGCUCCACCUGAGGGGAAAGCCAGGGAAAACCGCAGCAAAGGUACAGGAGCAUGCCUAGCUGUUCGGUACCGGGCCUUGGGGCAGAACCUAGAAUCCCGGGUCGGACUGGUUCUCCCAUGGUCUCUAAGGAAGGGGAUGUACAAGGCCAUAGAAAGGGCUACCAAGACCAGCAAGGGCAGGCCAAGCCAAAGUCAGGCUGACGAAAAGCCCCCGAAGGGACAGAGGACCUUGUUUCGGUUAAAGAUGUUUUUGGACUUUUCAUUUGGGAUGAGUGCGACCCAGGAAGGAGUGGACGAAAAGAUGGUCACCUGGUUGAAGGGCUGAAUUCACAGCCAAAAAACUGCCAAAGUGCCCUCGUGACUAUCGACGGGGGUGCUAGCCCAGCAAGAAACCUGUGACACCAGGCCUUGCCAGGAAGGGGCACCUAGCGGCUCUGUCCCAGCGUCUCACACAGAUAUAUCCUGCAGCCAGCCCAGCUCAGGGAGCAGUGGGGACAGGUCAUCUCAUCCUGUCAAACCAAGCAACAGGGUCCCAUUGAGGCUCAGAUGGAAGAUCCCGUGCACCUCCUGGAGAGGAUGUGUCCAGGAUCCUGGAGACUGUUUUCCCCUGCUGGAGGUUUGAGCGGGGAGAGAUCACUCACUGUCACGGCCCAGGGGUCUUCAACCUGGGUCUGCAGGGUUCAUGGGAGCAGCCACACUCCAACCCUCCAUCUGGAAGCCUGCUGAAAAUUGCUUACCUAGGACCCAUGAAGUUCAGCCCCAGUUUGAGGCUCCACUCCUGAGGUCCUAUUGGAGGAGUCCCAGAAAAGUUAAUUGGCCUCCUGGCCCUGCUUUAAGACAGCAGCAGGAACAGGAAGCUGACUGAACAGCAGGCUGCUCCCU